rnacentral:lncRNA from 1 species
GAGAAAAAAAAUCGAAAAUUUUAUUAAUCUGCAGAAAUUCUUGCCAUUACACCUUUGAAAACCAAAGCAAACGAUUACUAAGCAAAAUACCUUAAAUCAAAUCGGAAGGAUCAAAAACUAACUAAAUACACAGCAAGCAAUCAUUCAGUAAACUCAAACGGGCACCCACAUUUGAUCACAAAACAACUUGUACAGUAAACUUAAACAAGGUAACUCGGUACCUGACUCAUAAGCACAAAAACGAAACCACAAUCUGGAACUAAACUCGAUAGCUACACACUGCAGGACUCAGCAACUUGGAAUCAAGAAAAUACCCAGCAAGACUCGACUUAGACUCGGACAAACAACAGAAACUCAACAAAAACUAAAACGCAGGAAUACACAAAACUCAACUCAAGAACGAAGAACAGAACAGUAGCAAAGCUCGGGAAACGAACUGAUAGUACCAUGCAUAAUUAUCAUUUAAUAUCUAUAGUGUUGACAAAAUAUGAUAAAUAAAUAUAUACAAAGCUAGGGAGCAAUAAAUGCAAAGACUAACACCACACGGCACACCCAUGUGAUACACCCAUGCCACAAGGACAACAACACUUUAACUAUUGUACUUUUAAUUGACUUAACUGUAGCUUGACAGGAAGCAUGGAGGUGCACUACAUGAGGCCAUGACUUUAACUAUAGUAACUGUACUCCUUGCUCAAUAGUGCUCAUAUGGAUGUACUAUAAAUACAUGCAUUCUCACAGGUAAAAGGGGGAGGCUGACUAGCAUCAACCAUUUUUUCACAACGUGCAAAAUAUACACUCUCUCUACUAUCACAAAUAUUCACUCUUCAAAGCAUACAAAACACAUAUCACACCUCGCACAUUUAGAGUUUCGGCUCUCUGAUUACCCUACUUGUCAAGCAUUCCAAUCACUGAUUAUCACGCCGGAGGCGCUUCACGGGACACUCCCCCGUGCGGCGUUGUUUUGCAGGUUAGGUCGCGACCUGAGCUUCCCGGAACAGUGCAUUGGAACCCCCGACGAGAAAAGGAGUUAUCAUUUGGCGCGCCAGGAAGGGGCCUUUUUCAUUAAGAAAAACCUUCAUCACCUCUGCAGGGUCACAAAAAAAAAUUACAAUCUACUCCAAGUGGAAGCGGAGCUGCACGCUAUUUUAUUUUUACUAGCUAGUUAGACACUAUGCUAUUUUUUCGGGUGGAGCACCAUGUCAUUUUUCAAACAAAACAUCACACCACUUUUGUACGUGGAGCAACAUGCAACUCUUCAAGCGGACCAUCAAACCAAACCAAGCAAAUAAACAACAUGCUAAUAUCUCUCAAAGCGGACAAAAAAGCAACAUAUACAUGUCUCCGGAGUCAAGCAACAUGGCAACACACAACUAGCUAGGUCCCGCAACCAAGCAACAAGGCAACACACAACUAUGUCCCGCGAUCAAGCAACAAAGCAACACACAUCUCACAAAAGCAAGCACAAAGCAACACACAUCUCACAAAAGCAAGCACAAAGCAACACACAUCUCACAAAAGCAAGCACAAAGCAUCAUGCACAUAUUACAAAAAAAAAGCAACAAAGCAACAUGCAUACUCUCUCAAAUUCAAGCAACAAAGCAUCAUGCAAUCAUGCAAUCAAGCAACAAAGCAUCAUGCAUAAAAAAAAAAUUGCAGCUAUGUGAAGUGACGCAAGCACAUCGGAUUAUUCUUCAAGUCCUUGCAAUUUUGAUCCGGGUUUUUGUGCAUAAAAGGCGGGCUAUUUAAAUCAGCUCACUUAUAUUAAUUAUCUAAGCAAUUUUAAUCCUAUCAAAUAAGCAGCAGAAUGGCGGUACAAGCUCAUCAAAAAUAUUACUUGGACACUAAAGACAAAUAUGCUAUAUCCGGAAGCGGAACCCGCAAGUACAGGUUUUUCUCUGAUUACAACUCACCAUUUAUGAUCAUAAAUGUCAUAUUAUACAUGCUCAUUUUGUCUUAAUUUAAGUGGUCAUAUCAUCUUUACAUGAUUAACUCACUUGAUCAUUCACUCUCAUAAAGCAUUGCUUCAUAUAUUGUCAUUAAAUAAAACUCUUAUUUACUAGUCUGCCUAGUAGAAAAGGAGGUAUAAAGUCAUAAUAUUGAUCCGCUAGCUACAUGUCUCAACACCGCUUCCACCUUCCUCUAAUACUUUUGCCUUUUAUUUCUAAGCAAGCAAAUCAUCUCUUAUAUAUUUACUUAUCAGUCUUGAAUAUUGAUCCUACGGCACCAUGUACAAAUUUCUAGAUGUCUCAAAAACUCAAACUGGAUUAAUGCAAUGCACGCCAUCAUGGAUACAUCAAAUUUGACACAGUUGCGGCUACAAAAGCUAGCACAAUAUUUUCACAUGUGGCUGGGUCCAUUUCUCGGACAAAAAAUGAUACAAUAUUUCUUCACAUGGCUCGAAAAACAAAAGACUCUCACCAUUCUCAACUUCUCAGCUUACUUUAUUUUAUUUUAUUACUUUUUUCUCUUGUCCGGACAGAAACAAUAAAAUAGACACUAACCUCUUUAUUUAACCUGCCAAAUGAGUUCACUCUCCCUAUUCCUUUUCCGCAAUCUGCAUGAUUCACCAAUAUAUUGUCCGCUACCUUACAGUCUUCUCUGCUCUACCCAUUAUUGAGCACCACCUUACCCACAUUAUUGUCAACCUGCAGCCCAUGCAUUUAUAUUUAUUUUCAGCUUAGCAAUAUCUUGACACCUACAUCAAAGUAUAAUUAUUCUCACUUUUGGCACAGGCAAAUAAUCUCUAUAAAUUAUGAUUUUUAUAAUCAGAUAUUUUCGAGAUGCAAGCUUUCAAUUUUAUUUAUUUUAGCUUUUUCAACAAUCACUUGAUAUCUCUUAUAUUAGUUGGUGUAACACAUAUUACAAAAAUACCUUAUCACUGGAUUUAUUUGUCAAAAGAAAGCAAAGCUGCAACUUAGAAAGCCUACACAGUACCACAUAGCAUGCAUCAGAAAUUUAUUCCCGCUUACACUCUUGUAAAAACCUUGCUAAAGCAAAAUACAAGUUUCUGCCCGCUGUCAUAACUCAUAGGGGUGCUUGUUGGCCAAGAGUUCACCUUUUAAUAUAUUUCAUGCUACAAACACUUGCACAUUACAAUUUACGCAUUUAGUUAUAAAAAAAUAAAAAAAACUGUCCCAGAGCAUAAAGCAAAAUUUCAAAUGCACAUUUUCUUAAAAUUUGCACAUCAUUAUUUCAUUAUUUUUUAUUUUUAUUUCCCCCCCAUAAUCUUUGUUAAGUCUUGCCGCUACUAGCUAUGCUCCGUGUUUCAUCAGUAUUAUUGUUAACCAACAAGAAUAAAAUAUUAGACAGUAUUACCGCACCCAAAAUGCAUCCAUCGCGGCACCUAGAGGACACAAAAUUUAUUCAUUUCUUUAUUAUGUAUAGUAAAACUUGAUCCGGGUUAGCAAACGUUUCAAACUCCAUCAUGUCAAACAUGAAUAUUAUUUUACACAAUAUUUUCUUUCCUUUCUUUUACCCUAUUAACACUCCGAGGCGGACAUAGAGGAUACGGGCGUUGAUCUCCUAACUUAAUCUCUGGCUACAUGCAUGUUAUGUCUCCUGUACCGCUACCAAACCCAUCACCGAUUGCCGCUUGCAACUCUCUCCCGCAACACGCGUUGAUCUCCUAACUUAAUCUCUGGCUACAUGCAUGUUAUGUCUCCUGUACCGCUACCAAACCCAUCACCGAUUGCCGCUUGCAACUCUCUCCCGCAACACCUUUCACUAGCAUCAUCUCACCUCCCUUCGGCCCGCCACCUUUAUUCAUGAACAUUGAGCAGUACAUACUAGAGUAGCUUAUAUAAGACCACUAGACCAGCUCACUUCAACAUUAUCAUCUAGCACCUUGGAAUGAUCUUACACGGAGUAGUUUACACAUAUACCUAUGGCUAUAUCCCUACGUAUGUAAACUCAACAUUCACUAUAUGGAUUCAAAUCCUAGUAAGAACACACAUGCACACUCGUGCCCGGGCCCGUCAGCCUUUUGCAGUCACACACCAAGCUAGCUAGAUAUAGCAUAGAAAUGCAAAAUCCACUACCACACAUCAACAUACUUCUCCCGCUACAUCAUUCCGCCGUCAAUAACUCUACUAAUUCCAUAUGCUUUCUCCCAGCAAACCUAUGCGAACAUGCUUCUCCCGGUUGUUUACUCAUUGAGGCUUUUAUUAUUAUUAUUUCCAUAUGUCCGCUGUGAGCAAGACAAUGGUGUAGAUAUCUAUAUUUGUUGUUUUACCCAUCAACUCAUCUUGGACAAACCCAGCACCACGAUUGUCGCGUCCUGUCGUCUUUACUCAUGCCCUGUAAUAUUAUUUUCACAUAUCCAAAAACAACAUCCCACCUCACCUCUAACUAACAGUCCGCGACCUCCGCAACCUACCACACAAGUCACAAAAUGGUCACCAACUUUCUACUCUCAGCAUAAUUCUAUAACACUGGAUAUCUCUCUCUUUUCCCGCAACCUUUUUGACAAUAACUAUCUCUCACAAACAGGUAGCCUAAAUAUUCAAACAAUCUGGCAGUCUAAAAUCAUCAUAUGAUUUUUAUAUGUUACCUUCACACUCGCUCGUAUAUUUGACUAUGUUGCUGCACUUAUACUUUAAUUCUGCGAUAUUUGGAAGCUUUUCUCUUAUUUCCAUCAACCACUAGUUUCCUCGGCUAAAUGGCCCGUCCGCCAUGACCUUUUUUACUAUCCCGCAUUAAUAACCAAAGUACAGCCCGCUAACUCGCAACCAGUAAUAGUAUAUGUAUAUGCGUACGACAAGAUUAGUAUGUGUCCGCUACCUUCACCUAUGUUGUAUCUUAUACCGCCAUCAAUGUGUGCCGCCACCUCGUAUCAGCUGUUACGUUCACCCCUUUUGCAUGCAUUCCACCCAUCAGUGACAAACGCAAGAGAGUCGUACAUAUAUAUAAAAGAUUAUGGGUGGCAGACCGUCAAAAAAGAAGCUUAUACAUAUUUUCUAGUUGCAAUAACACCAACUUCAUCCCGGCCAUUCAGAAUAGCAAGACAGUUGGCCGCCACUCAAUGCAUACAUAUAUGUGUGUCUAGGUAACAUAUUUUUAAUCACUACAAGGCAUAUCACUUUUAUUAACUUUCACCUUAAUUAAUUAGCUUUCAAGCCCAUCACUUUUAUGUGUAUUGCAUAUGUUCUUAUAAAAUCUGCUACCUCACUAGCUCAAAGAGACCUUACCUGCUAUUUUAUUCUUGUGACCCGCCAAGUCUCAGACACCGCUAUCAAAUGACUGCAUGCGCUGAUUACAUUACAUAGCAUGCACACGUGUGAUCCAUGCAAUACAAGCUUAUCUAUUUUGACUUAUAUAUAUAUAAACUAUUUACGCGUUCUUGUUUUUAUAAUUUAUCUUGCAUGUAUUGAAAUAUUUGUCAUCCUUUCACUUAAAUUUAUUUUCUGCUCCAUACAUCACUUGCUCUUGUUAAUCGUAUGUUUUAGUCUUGUACAUCCGUGCAAUAAUCUUUCACAUAUUUAGGCAAAAUUCAUACAAGCACAAUAUUUUUUCACAAAAUUUUUUAUCUCUCAAGUGUUGUCCGGGGGGCAACCAAGCACAAUUUUCACAAAAUUUUUUAUCUCUCAAGUGUUGUCCGGGGGACAACCAAGCACAAUUUUCACAAAAUUUUUUUUAUCUCUCAAGUGUUGUCCGGGGAGCAACUAAGCACAAUUUUCACAAUUUUUUUUUAUCUCUCAAGUGUUGUCCGGGGGGCAACCAAGCACAAUUUUCACAAAUUUUUUUUUCUCUCAAGUGUUGUCCGCAACCAACACUGGGGGGCAACCAAGCACAAUUUUUUCACAAAAUUUUAUAUUUUCGUGUUGUCUGCGCCCAACACUUGGAAGCCCCGAAACAAUCUACUUUUCUUCAAACUUGUCCCAACUCAAUUUUCUUUUUUCUUACUUACUCCUCCCAUACGCUAAAGCAAAUGGAAUGAGUAGGGGGGCAAUGAUAGUACCAUGCAUAAUUAUCAUUUAAUAUCUAUAGUGUUGACAAAAUAUGAUAAAUAAAUAUAUACAAAGCUAGGGAGCAAUAAAUGCAAAGACUAACACCACACGGCACACCCAUGUGAUACACCCAUGCCACAAGGACAACAACACUUUAACUAUUGUACUUUUAAUUGACUUAACUGUAGCUUGACAGGAAGCAUGGAGGUGCACUACAUGAGGCCAUGACUUUAACUAUAGUAACUGUACUCCUUGCUCAAUAGUGCUCAUAUGGAUGUACUAUAAAUACAUGCAUUCUCACAGGUAAAAGGGGGAGGCUGACUAGCAUCAACCAUUUUUUCACAACGUGCAAAAUAUACACUCUCUCUACUAUCACAAAUAUUCACUCUUCAAAGCAUACAAAACACAUAUCACACCUCGCACAUUUAGAGUUUCGGCUCUCUGAUUACCCUACUUGUCAAGCAUUCCAAUCACUGAUUAUCACGCCGGAGGCGCUUCACGGGACACUCCCCCGUGCGGCGUUGUUUUGCAGGUUAGGUCGCGACCUGAGCUUCCCGGAACAGUGCAUUGGAACCCCCGACGAGAAAAGGAGUUAUCAUGAACAAAGGCGACUCUAUGAUUCAACAACCUAGCAAUCAGAUAAAACGCAGCAAUGACUCGGGCGUUUGCUCGAAUACUCAAAAUAAAACUAAAGACUCAGCUAUUCUACAACUCAAAACAGAACUCAGCUUCGAACAAAAACCAUGAAAAUCAGAACCCAGACUAAAAGAAACUCAACAAGCAAACGCAUAAAACGCAGCGACUCAGUAAACACUCGGACUUGACUCACUAAAAUCAUAUAAUCAAACAGCAAAAACAACAAACUCAGCUCGUCGAUUCACAGAACAAAACUCACAACUCAUCUAAACACUCGAUUAAAUACAACCCAAAACAAAAGACUCAACUAAGACCAUCUGCAGAACUCGACAAAGCAAACCACACUAAAACUCAGCAUUAAAAACAAAGAACUCAACUCAGAUGAAACUCGGAAACAAACAAAUACAAGCAAACGAUUCAGCUAAAUAGAGAUGAUGACUCAGACUCGAAGCGAUUCAGAGCUAACUCGUACAAAACUCGGUGGAGACGUGCGUGACUCGGUGAGAAAGCAGAGCUCGGCGAUAUGAUUCAGUAAAAUAGGAAAAAGGGUUGGCUGGGGUUAUGUUUAAGAAGGAAACAAAGCAAG